CCUACGGGAGGCAGCAGUGAGGAAUAUUGGACAAUGGACGAAAGUCUGAUCCAGCUAUGCCGCGUGCAGGAUGACGGCCCUAUGGGUUGUAAACUGCUUUUAUACAGGAAGAAAAACUCCGACGUGUCGGAACUUGACGGUACUGUAAGAAUAAGGAUCGGCUAACUCCGUGCCAGCAGCCGCGGUAAUACGGAGGAUCCAAGCGUUAUCCGGAAUCAUUGGGUUUAAAGGGUCCGUAGGCGGUUUUUUAAGUCAGAGGUGAAAUCCUGCAGCUCAACUGUAGAAUUGCCUUUGAUACUGAAAGACUUGAGUUAUUGUGAAGUGGUUAGAAUGUGUGGUGUAGCGGUGAAAUGCAUAGAUAUCGCACAGAAUACCAAUUGCGAAGGCAGAUCACUAACAAUAUACUGACGCUCAGGGACGAAAGCGUGGGUAGCGAACAGGAUUAGAUACCCUGGUAGUCCACGCCGUAAACGAUGGAUACUAGCUGUAUGUCUACUUCAGGUAGAUGUGUGGCUAAGCGAAAGUGAUAAGUAUCCCACCUGGGGAGUACGAUCGCAAGAUUGAAACUCAAAGGAAUUGACGGAA
rnacentral:rRNA from 1 species